GACGAACCGUGCGAACGUUGUUCGGAAUCACUGGGCGUAAAGCGCACGUAGGCGGAUCUUUAAGUCAGGGGUGAAAUCCUGGAGCUCAACUCCAGAACUGCCUUUGAUACUGGAGAUCUCGAGUCCGGAAGAGGUGAGUGGAACUCCGAGUGUAGAGGUGAAAUUCGUAGAUAUUCGGAAGAACACCAGUGGCGAAGGCGGCUCACUGGUCCGGUACUGACGCUGAGGUGCGAAAGCGUGGGGAGCAAACGGG
rnacentral:rRNA from 1 species